AUUGAACGCUGGCGGCAGGCCUAACACAUGCAAGUCGAGCGGAUGAAGGGAGCUUGCUCCUGGAAUCAGCGGCGGACGGGUGAGUAAUGCCUAGGAAUCUGCCUGGUAGUGGGGGAUAACGUCCGGAAACGGGCGCUAAUACCGCAUACGAACUGAGGGAGAAAGUGGGGGAUCUUCGGCCCUCACGCUAUCAGAUGAGCCUAGGUCGGCUUAGCUAGUUGGUGGGGUAAAGGCCUACCAAGGCGACGAUCCGUAACUGGUCUGAGAGGAUGAUCAGUCACACUGGAACUGAGACACGGUCCAGACUCCGACGGGAGGCAGCAGUGGGGAAUAUUGGACAAUGGGCGAAAGCCUGAUCCAGCCAUGCCGCGUGUGUGAAGAAGGUCUUCGGAUUGUAAAGCACUUUAAGUUGGGAGGAAGGGCAGUAAGUUAAUACCUUGCUGUUUUGACGGUACCAACAGAAUAAGCACCGGCUAACUUCGUG
rnacentral:rRNA from 1 species